UGGCGAACGGGUGAGUAAUACAUCGGAACGUGUCCGCUCGUGGGGGACAACCAGCCGAAAGGUUGGCUAAUACCGCAUGAGUUCUACGGAAGAAAGAGGGGGACCGCAAGGGCCUCUCGCGAGCGGAGCGGCCGAUGACUGAUUAGCCGGUUGGUGAGGUAACGGCUCACCAAAGCAACGAUCAGUAGCUGGUCUGAGAGGACGACCAGCCACACUGGGACUGAGACACGGCCCAGACUCCUACGGGAGGCAGCAG
rnacentral:rRNA from 1 species